CGAACCGCGCAAUGCGCUUCUUCUGCCUGCAGCAGAGAAAAGGAAAGAAAACUCCGCAGGGGCUCCGUUGGCUUCUCCACGAGUGACAACCAUGUUUUCCCAGAUAGAAGACCGGAGCCCUGCUCCUUUGCGAUCCGCCGAGGGCUGCAGAGAGCAUCCUCAUCCAUUUGGGCACCCCUGCCCAGGAAGAGCCCGGCCAUCCCUUUCCGGACUGGAUCCUUAAGAGGUGAAUUUUCUUCCGUGGAUUCCGAUUUGCUCCGUCUGACCAGCCUAGGCAAUCCAGCAUCGCGUGGUACCAGUGCCGCUGGGCACACUGGCUUCACGCCGGCUCCGCCUCACCAGCAAGCGCAUUCCCAGGUGGUCAGGCUCAGGAUGGACCAUGAGCUUUCAAAAAGGAAAAAGCUUUUUCUGGAGGAAAUUCGCAUUUGAAUUGAUGGACUGAAUAAAGCAGAUUGCAGUCCCCAGUGUGGAUGGGCUUGAUCCAGUCUUCUAAGGACCCAAAUAAAAUAGGUGGAGGAAGCUUGAAUUUUCUGCCUGACUGUGGCGCUGGGACACCCAUCUUCUCCUGCCCUUGAACUGGGACUGACACCAUCAGUGCUCCUGGUUCUCAGACCUUCGGACAGCAGACUUGGGGCCUUCUCGGCCUCCAUUAUUGUCUGCUUUUAGAUAUUUAACGGGAGAGGAAAAGAGAAAAUAUGAUUAAAGCCUUUGAAAGUCCAUUUCCAAGAAAUAAAAACUGCAGUAGGAAUUCUACAAAACUGAAAAAUCUUCAGGACUGGAAGAUCUAUCCAGAAAAGCCCAGUGGAUUAUAAUAACUUAUUAAAAUAUUUGUUUGGCAAGCCACUGACUAAUACCACUUUAAGAUAUGAAUGCAUUACCAAAAAAAAUUGGAGUGAGUAGUUUUUACAAGUCUUUGAAAUAAUCAUAUUUGUAUUUUGACACUAAUUUGAAACAAGGAGCUGGCUUGAAAUAUUAAACCUAAGUGAUCAGAGACAAUGAGCUAUCAGACUGCAUGAUCA
rnacentral:lncRNA from 1 species